rnacentral:rRNA from 1 species
AGCAGCCGCGGUAAUUCCAGCUCCAAUAGCGUAUAUUAAAGUUGUUGCAGUUAAAAGCUCGUAGUUGAAUUUCGGGAUCAAUCUAUCGGUCGUGCAAUAGUACGUACUGAUUUUAUUGAUUCCUACCUUCUGAUGAACUAUGAUGUCAUUAAUUUGGUGUCAUAGGGAAUCAGGACUGUUACUUUGAAAAAAUUAGAGUGUUUAAAGCAGGCUCACGCUUGAAUACAUUAGCAUGGAAUAACGAAAUAGGACGUUUGAUUCUAUUUUGUUGGUUUCUAGGAUCGACGUAAUGAUUAAUAGGGAUAGUUGGGGGCAUUAGUAUUCAAUUGUCAGAGGUGAAAAUUCUUGGAUUUAUUGAAGACUAACUACUGCGAAAAGCAUUUGCCAAGGAUGUUUUCAUUAAUCAAGAACGAAAGUUAGGGGAUCGAAGACGAUCAGAUACCGUCGUAGUCUUAACCAUAAAACUAUGCCGACUAGGGAUCGGAUGAUGUUAAUUUUUUAAUGACUCAUUCGGCGCCUU